CCUGGGGAGUACGGCCGCAAGGUUAAAACUCAAAUGAAUUGACGGGGGCCCGCACAAGCGGUGGAGCAUGUGGUUUAAUUCGAUGCAACGCGAAGAACCUUACCUACUCUUGACAUCCAGAGAACUUUCCAGAGAUGGAUUGGUGCCUUCGGGAACUCUGAGACAGGUGCUGCAUGGCUGUCGUCAGCUCGUGUUGUGAAAUGUUGGGUUAAGUCCCGCAACGAGCGCAACCCUUAUCCUUUGUUGCCAGCGGUUAGGCCGGGAACUCAAAGGAGACUGCCAGUGAUAAACUGGAGGAAGGUGGGGAUGACGUCAAGUCAUCAUGGCCCUUACGAGUAGGGCUACACACGUGCUACAAUGGCGCAUACAAAGAGAAGCGACCUCGCGAGAGCAAGCGGACCUCAUAAAGUGCGUCGUAGUCCGGAUUGGAGUCUGCAACUCGACUCCAUGAAGUCGGAAUCGCUAGUAAUCGUAGAUCAGAAUGCUACGGUGAAUACGUUCCCGGGCCUUGUACACACCGCCCGUCACACCAUGGGAGUGGGUUGCAAAAGAAGUAGGUAGCUUAACCUUCGGGAGGGCGCUUACCACUUUGUGAUUCAUGACUGGGGUGAAGUCGUAACAAGGUAACCGUAGGGGAACCUGCGGUUGGAUCACCUCCUUA
rnacentral:rRNA from 1 species